CGUUGGCGGCGUGGAUUAGGCAUGCAAGUCGUACGGGCCCGGCCGCAAGGCCGGGUCAGUGGCGCAAGGGUGAGUAAGGCGACGGUAACCAACCCCACGGGUGGGUAUAGCCGCGGGAAACUGCGGGUAAUCCCCAGCGACGUCGCGGGAGGGCAUCCCCCCGCGACCAAAGGUCAGCCGCCGUGGGACGGGCCGUCGUGGUAUUAGGUUGUUGGCGGGGUAACGGCCCACCAAGCCGGCGAUGCCUACCGGGCGUGCGAGCGCGACCCGGCACACUGGGACUGAGACACUGCCCAGACUCCUACGGGAGGCUGCAGUCGAGAAUCUUCGGCAAUGGGCGCAAGCCUGACCGAGCGACGCCGCGUGGAGGACGAAGGCCUUCGGGUUGUAAACUCCUGUCGAGGGGGAAGAAGGCCCCGCAAGGGGCUUGACUGAUCCCUGGAGGAAGCACGGGCUAAGUUCGUGCCAGCAGCCGCGGUAAGACGAACCGUGCGAACGUUAUUCGGAAUCACUGGGCUUAAAGCGCGUGUAGGCGGGACGGCACGUCGGUAGCUGAAAUCCCCCGGCUCAACCGGGGAACGGGCGCCGAUACGACCGCCCUCGAGGGACGUAGGGGGA
rnacentral:rRNA from 1 species